rnacentral:lncRNA from 1 species
AGACCAAGGUAGGAAGGCCUCAAGUUGGAGGCCAGUCUGGCCAACAUGGAAACUCCGGUCUCAAAAUUAAGAAAUGAAAAAGUUUUUGAAGAUCCUAAUCCAAAUCCCCAAAUAAAAAGGCAACUUGGAAUCCUAGCGGUGGCUCCACAGGUUGAUUCGGGAGGAUUUCCAGUUGAAAGCCAGCCUCAGCAAGGGCAAGUUGAGGGACUAAGCAAAUCAGUGAGAGCCUGUCUCUAAAUAGAUUACAAAAUAGGGAUGCGGAUGUUGCUCAGUGCUUAAAUGCCCCUGAAUUCAAUGCCUGGUACCAAAAAAAAAAAAAAAAAAAAAAAAAACAGACUGGACAGCUUGUUCCUUCUCUGAGGGCAAAAGACAAGGGAGCCAGGUUUCCUUAGCCUUUUUCUCUGGGCAGCGUUUUUUCAGACAGGAAGGGCGGGAGAAGGGCUCCCAGGAUGAGUCCUGGUAGCCAUGUCUGCAGCUCUACUGCCAUCGUGCGGAAACAGUUUCAAGAAGACACCCAGCGCCAUUCAUGCCUCCUUCCCAGGAGGCCUUGCUGUUGGGCAGAUCGGACAGGCAGGGAGUUGGAAGAUCCUUGGGCUGCCAUCUGGGCCUCCUUGCCUUCUCCUAGGGCCCUGAGGGAGACCUGGGCAGUGGCGCUCCCUCACCAUAGAACCUGCAGAGCAGGGGGCCCAGAGCUGACUAGCAGCAGCCAGGAAUUGCUCUCACAGGAAGUCGUGGGGCGGGGCCUCGUUGCUCAACUGUGUGGACUUCACCUGAGGGACACUGUGCAAAGGGUAAUGCAGGCCCUUGUGGAUACUGUUUCCUUGUUCAGGUCCCUUGGAGCAAGAUAUAGCAGUCCCUUAUGUGAAGUCACCAUGCUGUUGUGCUCGGAUCCCUUAGCCCCCAGGUGGAGCCCAAAGGACAUGUCAGUUUUGGGUGGCAUAGGGCAGCAUCAGAAGUGUGUCCAGUUGUUUGCAGGCAGGCCUAAUUGUCUGGAGGCUAGGGUGGUCUGAAGAGAAGGGCAGAGAAGAAUUGGAAGAACUUGCAGUGCAGCCGAUCUGCUAAAGACAAGCACCAAGAACGCUUAUGUUUGCAAAGCUGUUAUUUGGUGGAGCCUAUGCAAAAAUUCACUUAAAAUGCAUCAAGGAUCUCCUCAUGAAAACCACACGGACAGCAUUUGAAAGACAAAUGUAGGCCUACAUGUUGCUGUCCAUGGAUGUGGCAAUGUUGUCUUGAAAACACUGCUGAAAGCAGAAAUGAGAGAAGAAUGACUGGAUGGUCAGGAAGUCAUCUCCUUUUGCUUCCAAGGGAGUGACCAACAAUAGGAAGAGGCAGCUCACAGAAUAAGAGAAAAAAGUUGCAAUUACCUGGGAACAUUCUCACACUCAGAAUUUUUGAGGAAACUGGGCUUCGCAACCUCUUUGUAUCGCCAGGCUGAGACAAAGCAGAAAUGCAGAGUCUGGGUGCAGAACCUGGAUAAUGAUGGACACCAGGAAUGUGCACACAGGUACCACCAGAACAGACCUGACCUUGAUGUUCUCAACACUGUGAGGAGGGAUCCCCGUGCCAUUGCACAGUGACAUCAAGAAAGUGCAUGUUCCUUCUUGUUCCAAGGGGAACAACACAAGGCUGGUACCCUCAAGAGACUGCAUUAGCCUUUUUCCCGGUUUUUUUUUUUUUUUUUUUUCUUUCUUUCUUUUCUUUUUUUUGACAGAGUAUAGAGGUGGUUUAUUUUACUGAGUUGGAAAGUUUUCGUGUUUAUUAAUCCGAAUGUUAUAAUGAAUGACCCCUUCCCAGAUAAUUAACACUUUGCAUUUUAAACGUUUAUUUCUGUAGGACAUCUUCUAUCAUUGGAAGCAGAAGGCACGAGGGAAAAGAUAGUCGUCCACCUCCCCUUGAGGGCUCACAUCCAGCAGUCGAUGGGGCGCCCCAGGAUCCCAAGCAGCUUAUAGUAGGUGACAGAAACCUGUUCUUCUGGGCUCAGUAAUUGCAAGGAAGGGCACUUCUCAGUAGCUGGUGAGUCACAGAAAGCCUCACAGCCCUGCAGGUGAGUAACAGAGGGCGCUCCCAGGUCAGCUGCUCAGUGGGGCCUGGGCCCCCAUAGCUGAAUACACUGGAAAUGCCCUAUUAUGGGGUUCGGAGAGCAACAGGCUGCCCUUCUAAGAGGGACUUUGGCCCGCAGGGACCUUAGGACCUUCCAGUGCCCGCAGGUAGCCAGUACACCUGUCCAAGGGCUGUGGCCUGUCCUGCCAGUGCCUAGCCAUUGGGCACUGUGGGGGGGGGGGGCGGGGGUUAGGGGUGUAGGUUGCUCAUCUCUUGCAGGAAGAUGCUGCUGCCUGGUAUUGCAGCAGUCAAUGGGCUGCCUAGUCAACCUCAGCCCCUGAUGAGUGCAGACCCAGUAGCCAGGCACAACUGUCAUUGCAUGACCAGCUCUCCUGGAGCUAGCUGCUGCCUGCACACAAAAUUUCCUCUUCCCAGCAGGUGGCGGCAGCAACAACACAGGAAACAGACGCCCUGGCUCAGGUUCCUGUUCUCCCAAAAGAGCUGCCCCUGGCCAUGGCUUCUGGGAAUUCAGCGCCUCCUGCGCUGGGCACCUAGGCCCAGGGAGACCUCCCUGGAUUGCCCCUUAGUGGGUCCCUCCGCUCCAGUCCAAGCAGCUCCUAUGGAGGCCCCGCCCCACGACUUCUCUGACACCAGCUCCUGCCCACUGCUAGUCCCCUCAGGUCCCUGGCUCUCCGGGUUCUUUGCUGAGAGCGCGCCAGAGCCCAGGUCUCCCUCAGGACCCUGGGAGAAGGCCAGGAGGCCCAGAGGGCAGCCCAAGCCGCUUGGAACUCGCUCCUUGAAACAAGAUCCUCCCCCACAGCGAGGCCUCCUGGGAAGGAGGCUUGAGUGGCGCAGGGCGUCUUGAAACUGGUUCCGCACGGUGGCGGUAGAGCUCCAGCUAUGGCCAGCAGCCCUGGGCCUGAGCGCGCCUCUCCCGCCCUGGCUGUCUGAAAAAACGCCACCCAGACAAAGGCACCAGGCAACAUGGCCGCCCUGUCCUUUGCCCAGUUCUAGGAAGCAGCUCCCGAUGCUGCUUUUGCUUUUUCAGUAUUUGUGGCGUUUGGUUCACGAUGUUUGCCUCUGUCGUGAUUCUGCCCGAGACAGGCUUUGCCGUGUUGCCCAGGACCAGCUGGAAAUCGUGGUGCCAGUGCAGCAGCUUCCAGCUCCUCUCUCCUGUUGUUUUCCAUCUGAACUCUGACCAAGGCCUGAGUGCCAUCCUCCCCUGGGCCUCCCCUCUCUCUGGUGGAACGUUCAGGGAGGCCCUGCUCAUUCAGUCUGUUCUGAGUUGAACUGCACCCAGUCUUCCUCCCUCUGUAGUUUGUGAGUGCUCAGACCAGGUGAGAGAAAUGACACGGUUCGGUUUGUUUUUUACUCUUUUUAGGACACAAGAAGUUGGGAAUCCAACGUGUCAAUAUGUAUGUCUUCCAGAGAGCCAAUGUGCACAUGGUGAUGUGUCUUGUCUAGGUUCUGUUGCCAUAACAAAAAUACCUGAAGCUGAGUAUUUUGUAAGAAAUGGACAUUUCCUGUCCUCAUGGUUGUGGAGAUGGGAAAUCUAAGAAUAGGACCUCAGUGUCUGCUGAGCCGUUGGUGGGGGUCUUCUUGCUUAAUCAUAAUGUGGAAGAGGCCAGCACAGAGAGACAGAGGAAGCUUCUUGGAGACACCUGGCUUUUAUAGCAGAGUCACUCCCCACAAAACCUAUGAAUCCAUGAGUGGACUGAUCAGUGCCUGUGCAUGAGGGCAGAGUUCUCAUGAGCCAGUGACCUCCCAGAAAUACUUCAGUUCCCGUUCACACAUAAUUUUGGGAUUAACUUUCCGACAAUGGGUUUCCAGGGCACAACCAUUGAAACCAUACUAUGAAGUGACUUUUAAAGUUGAAUGAAAAUCGCUAGCAUCAUCUACUUUUCUAAAGUGGCCUUAAAAAACGAGUCUGUCACAAGGAGAGAGAGAGGAAGCUUCUUCGAGACACCUGACUGGUGUCCUCCAGCCUGGAUGUUGGUUUAUUUUCAAGUUUCCCCUUUAGAUUUCAGGCAGAGAAUGUUGAGGUAGGGGACUUGGUGUUGUGGUAUUCAUGUAUUUUAUGUCCUCUAGGCUGUGGUGAAUGCAGACAUGGGAAGAAGUGGUCACGUGGAAAGUGAGUUCAAAAAGAGAGAGAGAACAUGAAAAUGGGGUGAGUUGGUUUUUUUUUUUUUUUAAUGUGGUCCUUGGAUAUAACCCAGGACUCUGUUCAUUAGAUCUCACGUUGAUAUGCAAUGGAACCCAAAAGAAAUUUUUUACCAGGGGAGCAAGUUUUCUGAGAUUGAGCAAAAUGCAAGGCAGCCGUAGUUUCUGGAGUGUUUCUCCUCUGGCCAUUUUAUUUAUUUAUUUCUUCCAAUUGGAGGGGCACAAGUGGAGCACCUAGAGGGAAGUCUGGUUAGGGAAACAUUUUCAUUGGGUCCCAUCCCAUGUGCAUUUAAUGCAUGACAGCCCUAGCAGUAAGGCAGGGAGGGCCAGUACCAGGUCCGAUGGUCCAAGAUACAAGCUGGGCUUAGCAACCUCCUUGUGGAGGGCCACGCAGGACCAAAGCACAAAGGUAUAGUCUUGUAGGAAGUGAUCCGUGAGGGACACUAGGAUUGAUUACACAGGUGCCACCUGAGCUGGCCUAUCGGGCUUUUCUCACUGAGCUGAGAGGACAGUGACAUCACAAACGGGCAUUGUGUGUCUUGCUCCAAGGUGAGGGACAAGAGGCUAGUGCCCCCAGAAACCUGCAGUAGCCUGUGAGAGGGUUUGUCUGUUCCAGUCCACACAGCUUCCUACCAAGGCCCUGCCUUGUGACUUCCUAUGACACCAUCUCCUGGCUGCUGCUGCUUCCCUGGGGGCCCCUGGUCCUGUGGGUUCUUUGGGAAGAGACAGCCAUUGAUCAGGUUUCUCUUAGGGCCCUGGGAGAAUGUUUGGAAAUCCAGAUUGCACCCAAGCCUCUUGUAACUCCCUACACAAUUCAGUUUCUCCGAGCUAACACCAAGAGCAGAUAAAUAAUAAUGUCAAUUGUUUUUGACUCUAUUUCUAACAUAUGUGAUAACUUUGAAAAAACACAUCAGUAUGUAUGUGUCUUACAAAGUUGAUAGGCAUAUCUGUCAUGCAUCUUAGGCAUAUGUGUAUGUAUGUAAAUAUAUAUAUAUAUAUAUAUAUAUACUUUUUUUUUUUUCUUUUUUCGAUAAGACUAUUGGGUGGUGACUGUUUUAAAAAGAAUCAAAUUUCACUAAGUGCCCUGGCACUUUCCUGUGUUCCUGACAGCCUGGGUGGCUGAGGCAGGAUUGGCGAACUUGUUACAACUUAGCAAUACCCUUAGAUAACUUAGAGAGAUCCUGUACCGAAAUAAAAAAUAAUAAUCAUUUUAAGAAAAGGAUUAGACGUUUCUCUCCAUGGUUAAGCACCCCUGUGAUCAAUGCCCGAUACCAAAGCCGGAAAAAAAAAAAAAAGAAAAGAAAAGAAAAAGUUUAUUUGGCUCAAGUUUCUGAAGACAGGAGUGUCCACGAACAUGGUCUGGGGAUCUCCUUGACCAUUGGUGAGGGUCUUUGGGCUAAAUCCUAACAUAGAAGAGGCCAUCAUGAGGCCAGACAGAGCUGUCCCGCUGGAGAGAAUUGACUUUGGUAGCAAAGUCACUCUCCUAAGGAAACUUAUGAAUCCUUGAAUGGACUGAUCUGUGUAUGAAGGGUGAGUCCGGUAGAGCCAGUCACCUCCCAAAGUGCCUCCAAAUAUGAUCAACCUGUAAUUCAGGGAUUCAAGUUUCAACACAGGAAUUCCAGGGGACACACACCGCACUAUUAGAGAUAGGUCAUGCUGUCAUUUCAGUGUUUGUUCGAUGCUGUGAUUUCCAUCAAAACCACUAAGACGCCGGGUGUGGUGGUCCUCUCCUGUAAUUCCAGCAGCUAUGGAUUUCACUUUUCUUCUUUAGGCUUCAAAGGUGGUAAAAAGGGUGUAGUACAGAUAACAGUAAUGAGAGUUUAUGCGCACCAACUCCUUAAAGCUGUGGUAAACAGCCACCAGCUCCAAACAAUAAUAUAAGCAUUAAUUCAAUUUUAUUGCAGAUUUUUCUUUCGAGUGAGACUAAUUCUACACAAAUGUAAGUGUAGAUCGAUCAUCAGGCAUAGAAAGAAUCCAAAAAAGUACUGGGUCCCCUGGAAGAUUGCCUGAAGGUGCUUUUCUUUCUCUUGGCACAUGCUUAUGUUUUGACUCCUUGUCAAAUAUCAUUCUUUUUUUAAAUUUUAAUUUUUUUAGUUGUUGAUAGAACUUUAUUUGUAUUUAUGUAUAAGUGGUACAGAGAGUCUAAACGAGUGCCUCACAUGUGCUAGACAAGCGCUUUACCGCGGAGCCACCACCCCCGGGUCCCCUCAAAUAUCAUUCUUCAGUUCACUAAAGAGAAGGGCUUUGUGGCCCACACUUAUACUCCCAGCAACAUGAGAGGCUAAGACAGGAGUAUGGCAAGCUAGAGGCCAGAGUGAGGCCCUAAGCAAGAUAGCAAGUCCCUGUGUAAGAAUAAAAAGUAAUCUUUGAGGUGGAGCAGUGGUACUGGGUAUGUUGCUUAGUGGUUCAGCAUCCCUGUGUUCAAUCAUCCCUAAAAAAAAUAAAUAAAUAAAAACCAAGAAAUAUAAAGAACCAAGGGUAAAUUACUGUUGAAGGGGGACAAAAAAAAAAAAAAAACAGCAAAUGAUGAUUCUGUAAGCCAGUUGAUAAAUUAUUUAUGGCCAAAAAAUAUACAUAAAAUGCACAGAUACAACACCAUAGAGUCACUGUAAAUGGUAGAAGUGUAUUUCAUGCCAUGGGAAAAUGUUAUGUUUUAUGGGAAGAAAAUGAUGGAAAUGGAUGCAAAAGUCUAAGUAUCACACCAUCCUCGGAUUGCUCAUGAGAAGUUAUUGCCACCAAUCUAGUUCACAAGACACCAAACCAAAGGAAUGCUGGAGUCCCCGCUGGCCUUGGAGCAUGGCCAGGUCACUGACCACCUGGGUUGGUGACUGGUUGGCCACAGAAGAUCUCCUCUAGCUUCAGCAGCUUCCUCAGUUGUCUGCUUUCAUCCCAGGGAUUUUUCCUCUGAUGGCUGUUUGCUGUUUGUGAUCUGCAGAGUCGGUAACACUGAGCUGCACUCCAAUGGGCCAGAUCCUGUGGAAAUGAAGUUCCACCCGCACAGGUGUCCUCAGGAAGGAGGAGUAGAUUCAGGCUUCUGAUGAAACCUGAAAGCAGUCCUGUGCUGGAGACCAAGGUAGGAAGGCCUCAAGUUGGAGGCCAGUCUGGCCAACAUGGAAACUCCGGUCUCAAAAUUAAGAAAUGAAAAAGUUUUUGAAGAUCCUAAUCCAAAUCCCCAAAUAAAAAGGCAACUUGGAAUCCUAGC